CUGCACAGUGAACACCCAAGUGUGCUUUGUAGUUCCCUUGGUUUGAGUUCUGUGCUAAAUUAAUCUGUUCUUUUCCUCUGCAUUGGAAGGAUUUGCAUUCCUUUUACAUGUAUUCAGAAGGACAGAACACCU
ensembl:snoRNA